GUGCUCACUUCAGCAGCACAUAUACUAAAAUUGGAAUGAUACAGAGAAGAUUAGCAUGGCUCCUGUACAAGGACAACACAAUGCUUUUCAAGAAUUUAAAAAGACGG
ensembl:snRNA U6 U6 spliceosomal RNA